rnacentral:rRNA from 1 species
GUGGGGAAUAUUGGACAAUGGGGGGAACCCUGAUCCAGCCAUGCCGCGUGUGUGAAGAAGGCCUUUUGGUUGUAAAGCACUUUAAGCGAGGAGGAGGCUACCGAGAUUAAUACUCUUGGAUAGUGGACGUUACUCGCAGAAUAAGCACCGGCUAACUCUGUGCCAGCAGCCGCGGUAAUACAGAGGGUGCAAGCGUUAAUCGGAUUUACUGGGCGUAAAGCGCGCGUAGGUGGCCAAUUAAGUCAAAUGUGAAAUCCCCGAGCUUAACUUGGGAAGUGCAUUCGAUACUGGUUGGCUAGAGUAGGGGAGAGGAUGGUAGAAUUCCAGGUGUAGCGGUGAAAUGCGUAGAGAUCUGGAGGAAUACCGAUGGCGAAGGCAGCCAUCUGGCCGAAUACUGACACUGAGGUGCGAAAGCAUGGGGAGCAAACAGGAUUAGAAACCCGGGUAGUCC